UGUGGGAGCUGGCUUGCCAGCGAUGGCGUCGGCACAUCGAGCAUUUUUGUUGACUGACACACCGCUAUCGCUGGCAAGCCAGCUCCCACA
rnacentral:antisense_RNA from 1 species